CCUACGGGUGGCAGCAGUGGGGGAUAUUGCACAAUGGGGGAAACCCUGAUGCAGCGACGCCGCGUGUGGGAAGACGGUCCUCUGGAUUGUAAACCACUGUCCCCAGGGACGAAGAUGACGGUACCUGGGGAGGAAGCUCCGGCUAACUACGUGCCAGCAGCCGCGGGAAUACGUAGGGAGCAAGCGUUGUCCGGAAUUACUGGGUGUAAAGGGUGAGUAGGCGGGAUGGCAAGUUGGGUGUUAAAUCUACCGGCUAAACUGGUAGUCGAACUCAAAACUGCAAUUCUUGAGUGAAGUAGAGGCAGGCGGAAGUCCUAGUGUAGCGGUGAAAUGCGUAGAUAUUAGGAGGAACACCAGUGGCGAAGGCGGCCUGCUGGGCUUUUACUGACGCUGAGGCUCGAAAGUGUGGGGAGCAAACAGGAUUAGAUACCCCAGUAGUC
rnacentral:rRNA from 1 species